rnacentral:tRNA from 1 species
AGUAAAGUCAGCUAAUUAAGCUUUUGGGCCCAUGCCCCAAAAAUGUUGGUUCAACUCCCUCCUUUACUA